rnacentral:rRNA from 1 species
GACGAACGCUGGCGGCGUGCCUAAUACAUGCAAGUCGAACGAGAGCGACCGGUGCUUGCACUGGUCAAUCUAGUGGCGAACGGGUGAGUAACACGUGGGUAACCUGCCCAUCAGAGGGGGAUAACAUCCGGAAACGGAUGCUAAAACCGCAUAGGUCUUCGAGCCGCAUGGCUUGAAGAGGAAAAGAGGCGCAAGCUUCUGCUGAUGGAUGGGCCCGCGGUGCAUUAGCUAGUUGGUGAGGUAACGGCUCACCAAGGCCGUGAUGCAUAGCCGACCUGAGAGGGUGAUCGGCCACAUUGGGACUGAGAAACGGCCCAAACUCCUACGGGAGGCAGCAGUAGGGAAUCUUCCGCAAUGGACGCAAGUCUGACGGAGCAACGCCGCGUGAGUGAAGAAGGUUUUCGGAUCGUAAAACUCUGUUGUUAGAGAAGAACAAGUGCUAGAGUAACUGUUAGCGCCUUGACGGUAUCUAACCAGAAAGCCACGGCUAACUACGUG